AGUUCAGUGGUAAUGACCCCAACUGGUAUCCAUGAGGAUAUGGGUUUCAAUCCCUGCCCUUGCUCAGUGGGUUAAGGAUCUGGUGUUGCUCUGAGCUGUGGUGUACGUCGCAGACAUGGCUUGGGGAUCCCGCAUUGCCGUAGCUGUGGCUCAGGCCGGCAGCUACAGCUCUGAUUCGACCCCUAGCCUGGGAACUUUUUUCCAUGGGUUGAAAAAAUAAGGAGCCGACUUUCAUGGGAUGGUUGAAGGAAAAAAGAAAUAAAGAAUCAAAGAGACAGAGAAGGGGGUGGGGCUAUGGAAACCAGGAGGAGAGUUCCACCAGUGGAAGUGGUCGUUGCUGCUGUUUGUGGAGGAAAAGCCAAAAUGAGGGGAAUACAUGACCCCAAACUGUUAAUGUUCUGUCCCCAGCUCCUACCCAUUUUUAUUCUGCUAUUUUUUAUCUUUGGAGCCUCUAGAGGGAGCAGAAGACAGCUCUGGUCUGUCUGGAAUGACUGUCCCUGAUCCCUUUAGGGGAGGAAACCAAGUAGCCAGUGGGCCAGGAGGAUCCCAUCCAGGAUGUCAGUUAGUGCCUGGCAGUUCCUUUGGCCUCAGCCUUCCACUCUCAAACAUGUCCUGGUUUGGACAAGAAAAUCUGUGUUCACUCCAUCUGUAGGUCAUAUUUUGUCCGCUUUUUAAUUUUCCCAAGAAGUUGUUAUACACACACUAGCUCCUGCACACACCUGCCAUGUUUUCCAGAAUGCAGGGGUGGGGGGGCUUGGCAGCUCAGCCACGGUUCUGGUGGGGACCCUCGGCCCUCGAGUAGGCAGAGUCAACAACGGGAGUAAGAAUGAGUGUGUGUGCGUGUGUAUGUGUGUGUGAGUAUUGUGGGGUGCAAGUGGUACCUGUAAGGUACAUGUGUGAGUGGUGUGUAUAUGUGGUGUCUGGGCAUGUCUGUGUGGGUGUGUGUGUGUGGUGGAUGUGAUGUGAUGUGGGGGGGGAUUGUGGUAGAUGUGAGCUGGGCACCUCGGGCACAUGUGAGUGGUGUGGGCAUGUGUGCAGGUAUGGUGCCUGGAUGGACGGGUAAGGGUGUUUGUUUCCGUGUGUGGUGCACAUGGUGUACAAUGUGCCUGUGACUGGAUGUGAAGAUGGGCCAUGUGUGGGGUGGGUAGAGGUGUCUCUGGCUUAUGUAUUGAGUUCUGUGUGUAUGUCUGGUCUGUGUGCUUUUGAGUGUGGGUGUCUUUGGCACAUGAGCAAAGACAUGUGGGGUGCAAACCUUUGGGUGCCUGUGGUGUGUGUGUGGUGUGGUGCAUGUGUGUGUGCAUUUGUGGAGCUUGUGGCUCAUGUGUGGGUAUCUAUGGUGUGUGUGAGAAGGUGUGUUUGUGUUUCUGUGUGACCCACCGAAGGGGAGGCCUCUGGUCCCUGGGGAAGGGAGGCCCACUGGGGACCUCAGGGGAGCCACUCUGAGAGGUGACACAGACAGGAGGGAGGGGGACACAUUCCAGGACUGGGGAGAGCAUGCCCUGGGCCACCUGCAUCUGAAGCACUUGAGGGCAGGCCUGAGCCGCAUUGUUCGCACACAGCUUGUGACGGGCACAAAGUAGGGCUGCAAGAAGGAUGUGCUGAGGGCAGCUUCACCCGGAUUGCAGCCCCUUCUCUCUGUACCACUCGCUGACACAGGGCACAGGAGAAGUGCUUCCGGCUCUGCAUUGCACACCCAGUGUCUGUGUGAGAGGAGAGGUGAGCUCCCACCUCCAGCCCUGUGUCCCCGGCGGGCCCCCGACACCACCUUCUUCUGAACACACUGCAGAGCCCCCACUCUAGGUCACGGUAUGGUUUCCGCAAUGGUCAGUGCGGCGGCAAGAUGCUGACCAUGGGGGAGGAUGGCCGGCCCGACCCAUUGCCUGGCUGUCGCCUCCUGCCCCAGCUGGGAGAGCGUUUCUCACAUUAGGUAAGGGCCACCUGACUUGCCCUGACCUUUCUCUUCCUGAGGCAAGGACAACCCAGGAAGGAACUUUUGAACACACGGUCAGGGCUAGCGCCCUUCCUCUGGAGCCGAAGAAAUGGCGAUUCCACCAGUUUGGAACUUGAUCACUUGGGUCCCAGUUCUGGUUUUGGUCUGCGUGGUCUGCAUGUUUGAUCACUUUGAGCCUCAGUUUCCACAUCCAUCAACUCUGGAGAAUAACCCUUCUGAUGCUGGCACAGAAUAUUUGCCACAAUGUAGGAAAGCACUUAGCCUAACACCAGGAACAGAGUACAGACUCAGCAAAUAAUGACAACCAUGGUUAUUAUUUCAAUCCUUAAACAGUGAGAAUUAAAAAAGUAAUAGAUGUAUCAGAAAGUGGUAGAAAUACACCAUCAGGAGUUCCCGUCGUGGUGCAGCAGAAACAAAUCCAACUGGGAACCAUGAGGGUGCGGAUUCGAUCCCUGGCCUCACUUAGUGGAUUAAGGAUCCAGCGUUUCCAUGAGCUUUGGUGUAGGUUGCAGAUGCAGCUUGGAUCUGGUGUUGCUGUGGCUCUGGCGUAGGCCGGCAGCUAUAGCUCCAAUUAGACCCCUAGCCUGGGAACCUCCACAUGCCAUGGGUGUGGCCCUAAAAGGACAAAGG
rnacentral:lncRNA from 1 species